rnacentral:rRNA from 1 species
GAUGAACGCUAGCUACAGGCUUAACACAUGCAAGUCGAGGGGCAGCAUUUUAGUUUGCUUGCAAACUGAAGAUGGCGACCGGCGCACGGGUGAGUAACACGUAUCCAACCUGCCGAUAACUCCGGAAUAGCCUUUCGAAAGAAAGAUUAAUACCGGAUAGCAUACGAAUAUCGCAUGAUAUUUUUAUUAAAGAAUUUCGGUUAUCGAUGGGGAUGCGUUCCAUUAGUUUGUUGGCGGGGUAACGGCCCACCAAGACUACGAUGGAUAGGGGUUCUGAGAGGAAGGUCCCCCACAUUGGAACUGAGACACGGUCCAAACUCCUACGGGAGGCAGCAGUGAGGAAUAUUGGUCAAUGGGCGAGAGCCUGAACCAGCCAAGUAGCGUGAAGGAUGAAGGCUCUAUGGGUCGUAAACUUCUUUUAUAUGGGAAUAAAGUUUUCCACGUGUGGAAUUUUGUAUGUACCAUAUGAAUAAGGAUCGGCUAACUCCGUGCCAGCAGCCGCGGUAAUACGGAGGAUCCGAGCGUUAUCCGGAUUUAUUGGGUUUAAAGGGAGCGUAGGUGGAUUGUUAAGUCAGUUGUGAAAGUUUGCGGCUCAACCGUAAAAUUGCAGUUGAAACUGGCAGUCUUGAGUACAGUAGAGGUGGGCGGAAUUCGUGGUGUAGCGGUGAAAUGCUUAGAUAUCACGAAGAACUCCGAUUGCGAAGGCAGCUCACUAGACUGUCACUGACACUGAUGCUCGAAAGUGUGGGUAUCAAACAGGAUUAGAUACCCUGGUAGUCCACACAGUAAACGAUGAAUACUCGCUGUUUGCGAUAUACAGUAAGCGGCCAAGCGAAAGCAUUAAGUAUUCCACCUGGGGAGUACGCCGGCAACGGUGAAACUCAAAGGAAUUGACGGGGGCCCGCACAAGCGGAGGAACAUGUGGUUUAAUUCGAUGAUACGCGAGGAACCUUACCCGGGCUUAAAUUGCAACAGAAUAUAUUGGAAACAGUAUAGCCGUAAGGCUGUUGUGAAGGUGCUGCAUGGUUGUCGUCAGCUCGUGCCGUGAGGUGUCGGCUUAAGUGCCAUAACGAGCGCAACCCUUAUCUUUAGUUACUAACAGGUCAUGCUGAGGACUCUAGAGAGACUGCCGUCGUAAGAUGUGAGGAAGGUGGGGAUGACGUCAAAUCAGCACGGCCCUUACGUCCGGGGCUACACACGUGUUACAAUGGGGGGUACAGAAGGCGGCUACCUGGUGACAGGAUGCUAAUCCCAAAAACCUCUCUCAGUUCGGAUCGAAGUCUGCAACCCGACUUCGUGAAGCUGGAUUCGCUAGUAAUCGCGCAUCAGCCAUGGCGCGGUGAAUACGUUCCCGGGCCUUGUACACACCGCCCGUCAAGCCAUGAGAGCCGGGGGUACCUGAAGUGCGUAACCGCGAGGAGCGCCCUAGGGUAAAACUGGUGAC